rnacentral:rRNA from 1 species
UAGGGAAUCUUCGGCAAUGGGGGCAACCCUGACCGAGCAACGCCGCGUGAGUGAAGAAGGUUUUCGGAUCGUAAAGCUCUGUUGUAAGUCAAGAACGAGUGUGAGAGUGGAAAGUUCACACUGUGACGGUAGCUUACCAGAAAGGGACGGCUAACUACGUGCCAGCAGCCGCGGUAAUACGUAGGUCCCGAGCGUUGUCCGGNNUUUUUGGGCGUAAAGCGAAGCGCAGGCGGUUUGAUAAGUCUGAAGUUAAAGGCUGUGGCUCAACCAUAGUUCGCUUUGGAAACUGUCAAACUUGAGUGCAGAAGGGGAGAGUGGAAUUCCAUGUGUAGCGGUGAAAUGCGUANUAGAUAUAUGGAGGAACACCGGUGGCGAAAGCGGCUCUCUGGUCUGUAACUGACGCUGAGGCUCGAAAGCGUGGGGAGCGAACAGGAUUAGAUACCCUGGUAGUCCACGCCGUAAACGAUGAGUGCUAGGUGUUGGAUCCUUUCCGGGAUUCAGUGCCGCAGCUAACGCAUUAAGCACUCCGCCUGGGGAGUACGACCGCAAGGUUG